rnacentral:rRNA from 1 species
GAUGAACGCUGGCGGCGUGCCUAAUACAUGCAAGUCGAGCGAACGGACGAGAAGCUUGCUUCUCUGAUGUUAGCGGCGGACGGGUGAGUAACACGUGGAUAACCUACCUAUAAGACUGGGAUGACUUCGGGAAACCGGAGCUAAUACCGGAUAAUAUUUUGAACCGCAUGGUUCAAAAGUAAAAGACGGUCUUGCUGUCACUUAUAGAUGGAUCCGCGCUGCAUUAGCUAGUUGGUAAGGUAACGGCUUACCAAGGCAACGAUGCAUAGCCGACCUGAGAGGGUGAUCGGCCACACUGGAACUGAGACACGGUCCAGACUCCUACGGGAGGCAGCAGUAGGGAAUCUUCCGCAAUGGGCGAAAGCCUGACGGAGCAACGCCGCGUGAGUGAUGAAGGUCUUCGGAUCGUAAAACUCUGUUAUUAGGGAAGAACAUAUGUGUAAGUAACUGUGCACAUCUUGACGGUACCUAAUCAGAAAGCCACGGCUAACUACGUG